rnacentral:rRNA from 1 species
GAUGAACGCUGGCGGCGUGCUUAACACAUGCCAGUCGAACGAAGCACUUUAUUUGAUUUCCUUCGGGACUGAUUAUUUUGUGACUGAGUGGCGGACGGGUGAGUAACGCGUGGGUAACCUGCCUUGUACAGGGGGAUAACAGUUGGAAACGGCUGCUAUUACCGCAUAAGCGCACGGCAUCGCAUGAUGCAGUGUGAAAAACUCCGGUGGUAUAAGAUGGACCCGCGUUGGAUUAGCUAGUUGGUGAGGUAACGGCCCACCAAGGCGACGAUCCAUAGCCGACCUGGGAGGGUGACCGGCCACAUUGGGACUGAGACACGGCCCAAACUCCUACGGGAGGCAGCAGUGGGGAAUAUUGCACAAUGGGCGAAAGCCUGAUGCAGCGACGCCGCGUGAGCGAAGAAGUAUUUCGGUAUGUAAAGCUCUAUCAGCAGGGAAGAUAAUGACGGUACCUGACUAAGAAGCACCGGCUAAAUACGUG